UUAUAAUGUGAGUAGUAUCCAAAAUCCUCUCGGGAAGUAGGUUCUUAUUUUGGCUCCUGGUUCUUUGAUUAAAAGCUCCUUGGGAAAUAUCACCUCCUCUCCCAAGCUCUGGACAGUUUCUCAGCUUAAACCCUUGCAGACGGUGGCUCCACAUCCCAGCCGUGGGGUGAGAUCCAGAAGCCGCACAGCGAGGAAAAAAUGGAGAUACGUAGCAGCUGUCAUGAACUGUGAAGAGGCUAAGAUUUUUAUCCUUCUUGCAAGCUAACAAGUUAGCCUGUCACUUCUUGGAUGCUGGCAAAAAGCAUGAGGCUCUUGGGUAAGAGACAAAGAACUUUAUUCUCAUAACAGUUCUAGUCGCCAGAGUACCUGCAUUUUCUUACAGUUGUAACCCAAACCCCAGUAACCACAGACUGACAUGAAGAGGGCCAAGUAAUACCAACACAUGCAGUGAGUUGCAUUGCAGGAGAGGAGCUCUGUGCUUAGGUAACCUGCAUCUUAUAUAAUAGGCAGUGAGGAUGCCUUCCCCUUGCUCUGAAGACAUAUAUCUAUGUCUAUCUAUAUCUAUAGAUAGAUCGAUAUCUUCUAAGGCUGUUUGCUUCAGACUUUCUUGAAAAAAUUGUCUGGAACAAGGGGCAACCGCG
rnacentral:lncRNA from 12 species